AGGGGCUACCUGCAGUCGACGACGCACGGACUUCGGUCUGGUGGCGAGUGGCGAACGGGUGAGUAAUGUAUCGGAACGUGCCCAGUAGCGGGGGAUAACUACGCGAAAGCGUGGCUAAUACCGCAUACGCCCUACGGGGGAAAGCGGGGGACCUUCGGGACUCGCACUAUUGGAACGGCCGAUAUCGGAUUAGCUAGUUGGUGGGGUAAAGGCCUACCAAGGCAACGAUCCGUAGCUGGUUUGAGAGGACGACCAGCCACACUGGGACUGAGACACGGCCCAGACUCCUACGGGAGGCAGCAGUGGGGAAUUUUGGACAAUGGGGGAAACCCUGAUCCAGCCAUCCCGCGUGUGCGAUGAAGGCCUUCGGGUUGUAAAGCACUAUUGGCAGAAAAGAAACGGCCCCGGAUAAUACCUGGGGCAACUGACGGUACCUGCAGAAUAAGCACCGGCUAACUACGUGCCAGCAGGCCGCGGUAAUACGUAGGGUGCAAGCGUUAAUCGGAAUUACUGGGCGUAAAGCGUGCGCAGGCGGUUCGGAAAGAAAGAUGUGAAAUCCCAGGGCUUAACCUUGGAACUGCAUUUUUAACUACCGAGCUAGAGUGUGUCAGAGGGAGGUGGAAUUCCGCGUGUAGCAGUGAAAUGCGUAUAUAUGCGGAGGAACACCGUUGGCGAAGGCAGCCUCCUGGGAUAACACUGACGCUCAUGCACGAAAGCGUGGGGAGCAAACAGGAUUAGAUACCCUGGUAGUCCACGCCCUAAACGAUGUCAACUAGCUGUUGGGGCCUUCGGGCCUUGGUAGCGCAGCUAACGCGUGAAGUUGACCGCCUGGGGAGUACAGUCGCAAGAUUAAAACUCAAAGGAAUUGACGGGGACCCGCACAAGCGGUGGAUGAUGUGGAUUAAUUCGAUGCAACGCGAAAAACCUUACCUAUCCUUGACAUGUCUGGAAUGCCGAAGAGAUUUGGCAGUGCUCGCAAGAGAACCGGAACACAGGUGCUGUAUGGCCGACGUCAGCUCGUGUCGUGAGAUGUUGGGUUAAGUCCCGCAACGAGCGCAACCCUUGUCAUUAGUUGCUACUAAAGGGCACUCUAAUGAGACUGCCGGUGACAGACCGGAGGAAGGUGGGGAUGACGUCAAGUCCUCAUGGCCCUUAUGGGUAGGGCUUCACACGUCAUACAAUGGUCGGGACAGAGGGCUGCCAACCCGCAAGGGGGAGCCAAUCCCAGAAAUCCGAUCGUAGUCCGGAUCGCAGUCUGCAACUCGACUGCGUGAAGUCGGAAUCGCUAGUAAUCGCGGAUCAGCAUGUCGCGGUGAAUACGUUCCCGGGUCUUGUACACACCGCCCGUCACACCAAGGGAGUGGGUUUACCAGAAGUAGUAGCCUACCGCAGGAGGCGUCCCGCGG
rnacentral:rRNA from 1 species